GAUGAACGCUGGCGGCGUGCCUAAUACAUGCAAGUCGAGCGAACAGACGAGGAGCUUGCUCCUCUGACGUUAGCGGCGGACGGGUGAGUAACACGUGGAUAACCUACCUAUAAGACUGGGAUAACUUCGGGAAACCGGAGCUAAUACCGGAUAAUAUAUUGAACCGCAUGGUUCAAUAGUGAAAGACGGUUUUGCUGUCACUUAUAGAUGGAUCCGCGCCGCAUUAGCUAGUUGGUAAGGUAACGGCUUACCAAGGCAACGAUGCGUAGCCGACCUGAGAGGGUGAUCGGCCACACUGGAACUGAGACACGGUCCAGACUCCUACGGGAGGCAGCAGUAGGGAAUCUUCCGCAAUGGGCGAAAGCUUGACGGAGCAACGCCGCGUGAGUGAUGAAGGUCUUCGGAUCGUAAAGCUCUGUUAUUAGGGAAGAAAAAAUGUGUAAGUAACUAUGCACGUCUUGACGGUACCUAAUCAGAAAGCCACGGCUAACUACGUG
rnacentral:rRNA from 1 species